GACGAACGCUGGCGGCGUGCUUAACACAUGCAAGUCGAACGGUGAAGCGCCUUCCUUUUUGGUGGGUGUGGAUGAGUGGCGAACGGGUGAGUAACACGUGAGUAACCUGCCCCCUUCUUCUGGAUAACCGCAUGAAAGUGUGGCUAAUACGGGAUAUUCUGGGUCUGUCGCAUGAUGGGUCUGGGAAAGAUAUUGUUUCGGUGGGGGAUGGGCUCGCGGCCUAUCAGCUUGUUGGUGGGGUGAUGGCCUACCAAGGCGGUGACGGGUAGCCGGCCUGGGAGGGUGGACGGUCACACUGGGAGUGAGACACGGCCCAGACUCCUACGGGAGGCAGCAGUGGGGAAUAUUGCACAAUGGGCGAAAGGCUGAUGCAGCGACGCCGCGUGAGGGAUGGAGGCCUGCGGGUUGUGAACCUCUUUCGCCAGUGAAGCAGGCCUGCCUCGUUUGUGGGUGGGUUGACGGUAGCUGGAUAAGAAGCGCCGGCUAACUACGUG
rnacentral:rRNA from 1 species